GUGCCGGGAGUCGUCUGCACCGUCACCGUGGGCCUGGCCUCUGCCCCUUUGCCACAUCCUAUCAGGGGUAAGUGACCUCCCACAGAUUCCCUUAAUCUGUGCCCUCACAUCUGCUGGUGGCCGCGGGAGUUGCAGCAAAGUUGGAGACCCGCCCCUCAACAUGCAACUUGGGAGUGGCCCGCCCAGUCUCACCUGGCUGGAGCCUGUGUACACACGACCUCACUCUCUAAGAGGACGGAGGUGCCCCCCCCCCCCGGAACGGACAUCUGGGCAUUUCUGUAAAAGGUGGCCCCGCGAGGCCCCGGCCAGGACAUCGGGCAGAUGACACCGGGAGGCCCUGCCGCAGGGCCGGGACGACGGACCCUCCCAGACGCUGCCCGAUUUCCGCUCGACAAGGAAGAGUCACCCCGAA